CCUACGGGGGGCAGCAGUGAGGAAUAUUGGUCAAUGGACGAGAGUCUGAACCAGCCAAGUAGCGUGAAGGAUGACUGCCCUAUGGGUUGUAAACUUCUUUUAUAUGGGAAUAAAAUGUUCCACGUGUGGGAUUUUGUAUGUACCAUAUGAAUAAGGAUCGGCUAACUCCGUGCCAGCAGCCGCGGUAAUACGGAGGAUCCGAGCGUUAUCCGGAUUUAUUGGGUUUAAAGGGCGCGUAGGUGGAUUGUUAAGUCAGUUGUGAAAGUUUGCGGCUCAACCGUAAAAUUGCAGUUGAAACUGGCAGUCGUGAGUACAGUAGAGGUGGGCGGAAUUCGUGGUGUAGCGGUGAAAUGCUUAGAUAUCACGAAGAACUCCGAUUGCGAAGGCAGCUCACUGGACUGCAACUGACACUGAGGCUCGAAAGUGUGGGUAUCAAACAGGAUUAGAUACCCCUGUAGUC
rnacentral:rRNA from 1 species